rnacentral:lncRNA from 1 species
CUUUUAUAAAAAUACAAAUGGCCAGACUAGGUGAAACUCAUUAACUGAAGAGGAGGAUAAGUGUCUCCACAACUGAGAGGGAGGACUGGCGCAGGGUCUGAGUGGAACAAAGGCCCCUCAAAGUUUGGCAGAGGCCACAGCAAACCUGUUUCAAAAAUGCUUACUCAGCAGAUGUGACCUUUUCCUAAAUGUUUUUGGGUUUUACAACAAUCUAACUUACCUUUUCCAAUUGAGGCACGGAAACCAAAAGCCAGAGUCAAAGUUGCAGAGAGGAACGGAGGGAUUGCAGUGAGAUUUGGUGAACAUCUGGGGAAGUUUCAAAGAAGAUGCCUAGACUGGGGAACUGCAUUCACAUCCCAUCAGGAAUUUGCGCUCUCCAGCGUGGAGAAACAAGCCACAGGAGGAUUCUGCUUUACUGAGUGGAGGAGAAAUCCAUCGAGAAUGGGCCGUUUGCUAGUUCAUUCGUUUGGUGACUUUUUCCUGAUGGGAAAUAGCAGAGCAGUGGAUCACCAGGAAUAGAGUCUGGCGAGAUCGCAGCUCCAGGAUCCUUUCGGGGUGGGCAGGAGGCGUCAGUCAGUGGGACGGAGCCAGAUCGAGAAACUGGGGACUCUAAGUUGACUCUUCAGGGAAUGUCCAGAUUUUAGAUUUCUAAGCAUAGCAAAAUUCGGUUACUUUCACACUUGGAACUUAAAACGGCAGCCUCGGAAGGAAGACCAUUUCUGGUAUUCUACAGCUCUGCUGCUUGCAGGGAGUUGAGAUGCAGCGGCAGGUUGAGAAGCUGCGGCGCCGCGGACGAGGAAGGAGGGUGCGCCCGAGGGUAGAGGAAGGGGCUUUCCGCGCCCAUCCUGUGCGUGCGGCCGGCUCGCGG